CUUGGGUACUCGAGUGGCGAACGGGUGAGUAACACGUGGGUGAUCUGCCCUGCACUUCGGGAUAAGCCUGGGAAACUGGGUCUAAUACCGGAUAGGACCACAUUUUGGAUGGUGUGGUGGAAAGUUUUUCGGUGUGGGAUGAGCUCGCGGCCUAUCAGCUUGUUGGUGGGGUAAUGGCCUACCAAGGCGUCGACGGGUAGCCGGCCUGAGAGGGUGGACGGCCACAUUGGGACUGAGAUACGGCCCAG
rnacentral:rRNA from 1 species